AUUGCAUAUAAUAAAUAAAAAAUUUUUACAAGUACCAAAUUUAUUGCUACAUUUUACUUUCUAUUUCAGCAAUGGAGCUUCAAGAAGAAGAAGCAGAAAACAAAAUCAAGUUUGAAAUAAAAAGAGCAAAAUUGCUAGCAAAUAUCACUAAAGCUAUGCAACUUCAAGAUGAAGAAGGAAAAACCCUUGAUCCAUUCCUUGUAUUUAUAACAAAUGAAAUGCAGUUACAAGAUAAAGAAAGAAAGGAAAAAA